UUCAAAUAUUUGUGCAGGAGGGAACAGCCAAACAGGAAGCUCAAGAGCAGCCAUGGCCGGAAUAGAUCCACAGAGGCAACUCCUAAACCUAAUUCGAGAUUGCACCUCCGAGAAAUCACAAGGAGAGAGAAGGGUGGUUGGGCUAAGGAAGAGAGUUGAAGAGCUUCGAUCUGAGCUUGAAGCGGCAAAUGCGGAGCUCGAAGGAACAAAGCGGUUCAAAGAAACUACUGAGCAAGAUCUUAAAGGCUACGAAGUUGAACUGGCUAUGAACAUUGCUACUAUUCACACCCUAGAGGGAAGAAUUUCUCAGAUUCAAGAUGAAAUAUCCUCCAUUGGAUCGGAAGUAGAGCGUCUUAAGCAUGAAGAAAGGACCGCACGGCAAAUGUCUAUUGAAGUUCAAAAGAAAAAAAUUGGUAUGGUUGUAUUUAAUUCUGCUCCUAUGAUGCAUUCUUACUGUAUAUGCAGAGAUGCCUUUAUUUGCCAGAUGUUCGAGCUUAACACCAGGAUAAGGAACUUCCAGAACAGAAUAGCUUCCAACUUCUAUGAAGCAAAUAAUGUUGGAAGUGCAGAAGACAUUUCAGAAGCAGAUCAGAAAGUUUUAAUGGAGGUACCCAUGGAAACUGAUUCAAGAGCUUUAGAGGACGAGCUUGCUCUUCUUGUUUCUCAAAUAACUAAAGAGGAACAAGAAUACCUGGCAGAACAGAGUUUCCAAAAGCAAUUUCCUGUAGGUCCAGCAGGAAUAUGUGGAUCUUCAGAGGAAGGUUUCUUUGAUGGAGGUGAUAACAAAAGAAACAAAAGCACUGCAGGAUUUGAUUAGAUAUCCUUGCAAAUUUCCUAAUUGAGGUCUAGUUAAGAAAACAAGUAUGCAGUUUUUUUGGCAUUUAUGAUUAAUUUUUGAGAAUUGGUUCUUCAAGUAACAUGGGUUGUUGUGUCAUGUGAGUACUGCCACAAAUUUCUUUAACUUGAAACAAGCAGACUUCUGAAUUGGAACAAAUUUAUGCUUCUCUUGGUGAGCAGUUGCAGAAGAAGUGUGUGUGUCCCGGCUGUCAGACAGAUAAUGUAGAGUCUCUAAGGGGAAUUUUUCAGGCAGAUGAGCAAAUUCAUCUCGUGUAAGUAAUUUUGUUUGCUGUUGCUUUGUACUCACUGGAUAGUAUGGUCUCAAUUACAUUGGAGAAUGAUGAUAAUAAGGCCCUGUGUUCUAUGAAACUUUCUAUCAAAGACUUUGGACUAACAACUCAGAAAGUAUUAAACUGAUUACAUUAUUUUUAUGGUGUUUACCUG